UACGAAGGGGGCUAGCGUUGCUCGGAAUUACUGGGCGUAAAGGGUGCGUAGGCGGGUAUUUAAGUCAGGGGUGAAAUCCUGGAGCUCAACUCCAGAACUGCCUUUGAUACUGAAGAUCUUGAGUUCGGGAGAGGUGAGUGGAACUGCGAGUGUAGAGGUGAAAUUCGUAGAUAUUCGCAAGAACACCAGUGGCGAAGGCGGCUCACUGGCCCGAUACUGACGCUGAGGCACGAAAGCGUGGGGAGCAAACAGG
rnacentral:rRNA from 1 species